rnacentral:rRNA from 1 species
AUUGAACGCUGGCGGCAGGCCUAACACAUGCAAGUCGAGCGGAGCGGCGGACGGGUGAGUAAUGCCUAGGAAUCUGCCUGGUAGCGGGGGAUAACGUCAGGAAACGGGCGCUAAUACUGAUUACUAUCAGAUGAGCCUAGGUCGGAUUAGCUAGUUGGUGGGGUAAAGGCCUACCAAGGCGACGGUCCGUAGCUGGGCUGAGAGUAUGAUCAGCCACACUGGGACUGGGACACGGCCCAGACUCCUACGGGAGGCAGCAGUGGGGAAUAUUGGACAAUGGGCGAAACCCUGAUCCAGCCAUGCCGCGUGUGUGAAGAAGGUCUUCGGAUUGUAAAGCACUUUAAGUUGGGAGGCGUUACCAACAGAAUAAGCACCGGCUAACUACGUGCCAGCAGCCGCGGUAAUAC